AUUGUCUCUAUCUCAGAUUCGGGAGGCCCGGGUUCAAGUUGCACAAGCUCCAGAGGUGACGACAUCAGUGGAGCCUCCGAUGAAGUGGUGUUAUUCUGCUCUAUUUGGAAUUUGUUUGGUCCGUUAUGUCCCACCCCAGACACAUGCCAUUGGCCGUCCAACUUUGUGAAGACUCCACCUCCACCAGAUUCAUGUACUCAUUAGUCCUGCUCGCCGUCAACCAAUGCAGACGAUCCUACCCUCCUCCCUGAAAACUCUUACCACUUCA